rnacentral:lncRNA from 1 species
GGCUGGCUACAGGUGUGUCUGACCACGCUUGUGAGGGCGUGGUCAGAGUGACAUAGUGUGACUGUGUUUGCUCUUUUGGUUUCACUUUGCUUCUUGCUGUACAGGCUGCUGCCACGCUGGCUGGCUAGGUCGCUCUGAAAAUUGUAGCCACAUGUAGAAUGUCCUAAGAAUGACAAGAUCAAUGCAUCUGAGGAGUAAGAGAGACUGAUGAUCUGCUCCAAGGAGGCUGCUCACAAAUGAUCCCUCAGAGUCACAACAGAGCAUCAACGAACAAUGAACAGUGUCUAUGGGGACUUGGUUCUUUCAGGUCUGCUUUAACUUAUGCUUGCAAAGCACAGACCUCAGGACUGACUCACAGAAGGCUCUUCUCUGACAGAACAACAGCUUUCCACAAUUUGGGAAAGCACAGACCACCUUUAUCUAAGAUUUCAGCAGAAGGACCUAUUACUGUUCAUUCGAUAAUGGGACAUUGUAAUGAAACUGAGAUAAUAAAAAGCAUAUGUGUUUGGAACUGGUUCAAAUGGGGCAAUGAAUUUAUUCUAUUUUUUUCUGAGUGAGAUCAAGCUUUUAGAAUUAAAGGAGAUAAGGAGCAGAGAAGUCAAAAAGCAAUGAAUGUAGGAUCUAGAUGUUAGAACAAAUAGACUUUAAAAAUGUUUUACAGUAAGUAAUAGAGCAUUGGCCAAAUAAGGUAAAGUCAGAUAAUUAUUCCAUUUCUUAUAGACUGUUCAAGUGCAAACAUUAGAACAUGCAUUCAAUAGAGCUGUUGACCUUCCCCACCCUCACAAUGGGAUCACAAAGAAGAAGAUGUGAUGUAG